UACAGAGGGUGCAAGCGUUAAUCGGAAUUACUGGGCGUAAAGCGCGCGUAGGUGGUUUGUUAAGUUGGAUGUGAAAUCCCCGGGCUCAACCUGGGAACUGCAUCCAAAACUGGCAAGCUAGAGUAUGGUAGAGGGUGGUGGAAUUUCCUGUGUAGCGGUGAAAUGCGUAGAUAUAGGAAGGAACACCAGUGGCGAAGGCGGACCACCUGGACUGAUACUGACACUGAGGUGCGAAAGCGUGGGGAGCAAACAGG
rnacentral:rRNA from 1 species